rnacentral:lncRNA from 1 species
AUGGGCCAAGUUACAGAGGCUCCAGGCAAGCGUGAGCUCCUGGGGAGGGGGGAGGAGAUGGCCCUGUCGUUUGGAGUGUCCCUGUUUGUUUAUCGUCUGGUGCUGGAUGCCUUUGCAGGAACCAGUGUUUCCCUCUUCUUUGGGCCUGGGGGCGAGGGUCUGAAUGCCGCUCUGAGCGGGUGUGUGUGUGUAGACUUGUACGUGUGUGUCUUCCUGGGACUCUGUUUGCCUUGGCUCUCUCCUCUCCUGGUCACACUUAGGCCUGGAACAAUCAGGAGCCCCCCUCCCCCAGCCAGCAACUUUUACACUCCCAGGCCAAGCAUGCUGGGCCCUUGGCAGAGCGAGAAGGAAGCAAAAGGCCAGUGGAGUCUUGUGAAAGUGGGGUCAGGGGCACGGUGCAACACCCCAGAGUCAGCGCCUACCCUGGGGAUGAGGCGAGGGAACGGGAACACAGAGCUUUGCCCAUGGGUGCUGGGAGGCCUGGCCGCGGGGCGCACUGCUCCCCCACCCUCAGGCCUGGCCCAAGUCCUGCUGUGUUUGUUGACUUCUAUGCUUGUGGGGAAACAGCCAGAUGCCAGGUCCCUAGCCCUGGGGUGUUGCCUCCCUGGCAGUCCCUGGCUUGGCCCAGACCCCUCUGUCAGAGGGUUGUGGUGGGAGGUAGUAAACACCAAUUUGGCAGUGCCCUGGGAGGCAAAUGAGGAGGUCACGAGGGUCAGAAGGGGCACAGGAAAGGCACGGCCCAGGCAGUAACCUGUGUGGCCACUAGGAGAGAAGGCUGAGAGGUCUGUGGUUUCCAGUGCUAGGCAGGUAGGAAGGUCCAGUGUAGGGUGAGGGGGACAGAAGACAGCUGGACAGUUAAUGAGGGGACAAGGAGAGGGAGUCAUCACUCCCAGGGGAACCUCAGGGCCCAUUGGAGCUGAGAGGGCCUUUGGGACCACGGUUGAUGAGGCUCCUUUGGCCAGGGAGGGCCUGUUGACAGAGGUUCUGCCGAAAGGAUUGGAGUUCUGGGUGGCCCUGAAUCAGGAAAAGUUCCCUAGACCCAGGCUGGGGCAGCUGGAAGGGAGACUCUCCUCUCCUGGGUAACCCUGAAAGAGGGGGUCUUUGCUGUUUCUUCCAACCUUUACCCAGGCACCUACAGCUCUGGCUGCUAAACCCUGGGGUCAAGCGGGAUGGGGGAACUUGGCUCACAGGGGUACAGGCACAAGGAACAGACAGAAAGGAGAAGGAAGGAAGGCAGAGACAGGAGGUGAGAGAGAGAGAGGAGGGGGAGGUAGGAAGUGUGGAAAAGAAAGAGCGAGAAAACACAUGUGAGAGAUGGAGAGACAAAGGGAGAGAGAGGAAGCCUCACGACAGAGAGAGGCAGGAGACAGAGAUGGAGAGAGUAAAAAUAGCUCCGCAUUAAGAUAAUUGCAGCUCACAGCUCUGCCCUCCGUUAGGAAUUAAAUGAGGUUUUAUUACUUUGAUUUUUCUCUCCUGGAUCCUACGCGACUUCUCAAGAACUUGGGGAAAAGUUUUUCAGGUGGGCGGCCAGGUGGCUGGGGCUGCGUGGGUGACAGAGGAGGAAGGGACAGGGACUUCUGGGAGCUGAGGGAAGUGUGGGCAGGGGCAAGGAGUGGGGAGGGUGUUGUGAGGAUGGGGGAGUCCAGCUGGGGCUGGGAGAGGUGGCCAGGGUCAGGCAUAUCCCAGAGCAGCUGAGAAGCUAGGGGCCAGGGUGACCUCCAUUCUCUCUUAGAAUUAAUCAUAUGCAAAUAAGAUGUAAAAAUAACGUGCCACUCCUUGGUUAUUAUUCUUGAGUUAGAAGCACAGGCAGUUGGGUCCAAGGAACAAAUUCAAGACCUUGUUUGACUUAACUCCAAUUAAACAAUGGGUCUUUCUGCUUGGACUAACCAAAAAAGCUUGUCAUAGGGUGUCUGUUAAUGUACAGAGCAGGUCUGAUCACACUAUUUUGAGCACACCAUUUCUCUCACAUCAUUGCCUGUUGCCUGCCACAGCGCCC